rnacentral:rRNA from 1 species
GGCAGCCGCCGCGGUAACACCGGCGGCCCGAGUGGUGAUCGUGAUAUUGGGUCUAAAGGGUCCGUAGCCGGUUUGGUCAGUCCUCCGGGAAAUCUGAUAGCUCAACUAUUAGGCUUUCGGGGGAUACUGCCAGACUUGGAACCGGGAGAGGUAAGAGGUACGUACAGGGGGUAGGAGUGAAAUCUUGUAAUCCCUGUGGGACCACCUGUGGCGAAGGCGUCUUACCAGAACGGGUUCGACGGUGAGGACGAAAGCUGGGGGCACGAACCGGAUUAGAUACCCGGGUAGUCCCAGCCGUAAACGAUGCUCGCUAGGUGUCAGGCAUGGCGCGACCGUGUCUGGUGCCGCAGGGAAGCCGUGAAGCGAGCCACCUGGGAAGUACGGCCGCAAGGCUGAAACUUAAAGGAAUUGGCGGGGGAGCACAUCAACGGGUGGAAGCCUGCGGUUUAAUUGGACUCAACGCCGGACAACUCACCGGGGGCGACAGCAAUAUGUAGGCCAAGCUGAAGACUUUGCCUGAAUCGCUGAGGGGAGGUGCAUGG